GACGAACGCUGGCGGCGUGCCUAAUACAUGCAAGUCGAACGCAGUGGGGACGGUUGAGUAACACGUGGGUAACCUCCCAUCAGAGGGGAUAACACUUGGAAACAGGUGCUAAACCGCUACUGGUGGAUGGACCCGGGGUGGAUUAGCUAGUUGGUGGGGUAACGGCUCACCAAGGCCACGAUGCAUCGCCGGCCUAAGAGGGUGAGCGGCCACACUGGAACUGAGACACGGCCCAGACUCCUACGGGAGGCAGCAGUAGGGAAUAUUCGGCAAUGGACGAAAGUCUGACCGAGCAAUGCCGCGUGAGUGAAGAAGGUUUUCGGAUCGUAAAACUCUGUUGUUAGAGAGGCGGUAUCUAACCAGAAAGCAACGGCUAACUACGUGCCAGCAGCCGCGGUAAUUC
rnacentral:rRNA from 1 species